ACAUCAUGAUACAUUUGACCAUAGGAUUUGCAAGUUUAGAGAUAUCUGGGUUGGAAAUACACCCAUGGGAGUCAUCGGCAGAUACAUGGCCAUGAGAUGGGAGAUGAUCAGGAGGAAAGGCAUCAUGGAAUUUGGGAGAGCUGGUAGCAGGGAAUAUGGGAAAUCCUCUUCGGAUUCGUAUUUUUUCAGUGAAAUCAAGAGAAAGAUCAUUUGCUGACAGUGGUAGAGAAGAAACUGGAGGUUUGAGGAGAGGGGAAAGUGAAAGUGAAAGUCGCUCAGUCGUGUCUGAUUCUUUGUGUCCAUGGACUGUAGGGUGCCAGGCUCGUCUGUGCAUAGAAUUCUCCAGGCCAGAGUACUGGAGUGGGUAGGCAUUCCCUUCUCCAGGGGAUCUUCCCAGUGUGAAAUAUCUAUGUGUGAUGUUAUAUUUUAUACAACAUUUCUAGAUGUUUCUUGUGGGAGGGAGUUUUGUGUUAUCCAAGGAGCAGUUUGCUGUCAUAGCUCACUUUUAUAAAGAGAGGAAAAGGUCAUUUUAAAAGACAUGUAGACACCUUAAAAGACAUUCUAGUCAUCCUAUCUAUCCUUGGCAAUAUAGAAAAAAGAAUCAGAAAUCGAAAAUGUUUCUUACAUACUUUCAGUUGCCAGGAGGAAGUGGGCUGCGGGAGGGAAGUUUGGGAAUUAGGGAUUAGCAGAGGCAAAUUACUAUAUAUAGCAUGGAUACACAACAAAUUCCUACUGCAUAGCACAAAACUAUUUUCAGUAUCCCAUGAUAAAUCGUGUGCAAAAGAAUAUGAAAAUAUAUAUAUUUGUGUGUAUAACUGAAUCACUUUCCUAUAUAGCAGAAAUUAACACAACAUUGCAAAUCAAUCACACUUCAAUAAAUAUUUUUUAAUCUAAAAUGCUUCUUAAAUUUCAGCAAAUGAAUAAUAUCAACCAAAACCAAGCUUCACCCAAGAGCCAGCAAGUUCCAGUACAAGAUACAUCAUGUUAAUUCUCCAGCAAAACAGGAACACAACUCUGAACAUUAAAAGUCUUCAAUUUUGUUUAACUGUCCAUGUCAGGACAAGCCAUGUGGACAAGUGGUGCAGAUAUGGACAAAGAUCUCACAUGGUGUACAUAUGGAUGAAGAAGUGGGACAGAUCCAAGAUGUGUUCAGAAGUGAGUUCUGUAGGACUUGCCCAAUUAGGUGUGGGAAGGAAGGAGCAUGAGGAUUCUAGACCAACCAAAUCCAGCCCAUUUACUUCUGCACGACCCAUGACCUGAGAAUGGAUUUUACAUUUUUCAAUAGCUGGGAAAAAAUCAAAAGGAACCUAUCAUUGUGGAACCUAUGAAAAUUUUGUGAAAACUUUUUAGUGCACCUAAUUGAAGAUUGAUUGGAACACAGCCACACCCACACCCACUUGCUACAUGCUGUCUAAUGACUGCGUUCAUUCUGCAAUGGCAGGGCUGACUAGUUGCGACAGAGACCGUAUGGCUGGCCAAGCCCUAAAUAGUUCCCAUUUGGCUUUUUACAGAAAAUGUACGCUGACCUAGGUGACUCGUGGGUUCGUGGCCUGGGUAACUGGAUGGGAGAUAUUGUCAUCACUGAGACGGGAAACACAGGAAGAGGAGCAGGCAUUCAGGGAAGAGCAAGAGGUCAGGGGCGGGGCAUGGUGAUCCGGAAGUACCCAUGGGUCUCCAAGGGGAGAAGCCCAGCAAGCAGCUGGGUAUAGGCUCUAGAACUUAGGAGAGAGGCUGCAGCUGGACGCCAAGCCUGGGAAUAUUGACACCCUUUCCGUUCUACCUACCGAAGUAUUUGUGCCAAACCCCACAGCCUUCUUCCCACACUGGGUAAGGAGCUGAGAGUUCCAGGUUUGUUCUCAGGGCCAGUGUUUGCUUUAGCCAUAAAGUUGUCAUUAGAACCCUAAAGAUGUAGCAUAAUGCGGGUGAAGACUAGAGGGCUUUUGAGAAUUUAUUUUAGAAUUGGAAUGAUCUUCAGUUUAGUCUCCAGUCUUCCUAAGAUGCAAGGCAUUUUCUUGUGGAAACUACAGCUAUAUAGUGAGGAGGGCAUAAGUGGAUCUUUGGAUUUUGUUGAUCUGAGUUGUGCUUUAGCAGAGAGGAGGAAAAUGAAAGCAAAAGGUGGAAUUUUUGUAUUCCUGAAUUCACAUGGAUUCCUUCUGAAAACUAUUUUUUACAAUAGGAAAAUAACAUUAGAAUAUUACUCAGCCAUGAAAAAGGAGAAAAUAAUGCCAUUUGCAGCAACACGAAUGGACCUAGAGAUUGUCAUAUUGAGUGAAGUGAGUCAAAGAAAAAUAUCAGAUGAUAUUGCUUAUAUGUAGAAUCUUUAAAAAAUGGUAUAAAUGAAUUUAUUUACAAAAUAGAGUCACAGAUGUUGAAAACAAACUUAUAGUUACUAGGGAGGGGGGGGACCAGGGUUGGAGGAGGGACAAAUUGGGAGACUAGAAUUGAUGUAGACACACUACUAUAAUAGAUAACUAAUAACUAAUAAGGACCUACUGUAUAGCACAGUGAAAUCAACUCAAUACUCUGUAAUGACCUAUAUGGGAAAAGAAUUCUAAAAAGAGUGUAUAUAUGUAUAUGUAUAACUGUUUCACAUUGAUGUACACCUGAAAGUAACACAACAUUGUAAAUCAACUGUACUCCAAUAAAAAAUUUUAAUGAAAAAAAAUCAUUGAUUACUCUGGGCACCAUUUAUUUCUUUGGUUUGAACUCUUGUUCAAGUCAGAUGAACUUAGGCAGCUUGGUAACAGGGACAGAAGUGAGUUUUGCAAGGGCCUGGAGGAGGCUAGGUACCAUCUAGCAACUGCCUUCCAAUGUCAGGGAAUUGAAGCUUUCCUCCUCCUUCCUUGCUUCCUCAUCAUUUUAUUCUCCUGCAUCUCUCUUUUUAUUUUUCUUGAUUCAUCU
ensembl:lncRNA